rnacentral:tRNA from 1 species
GAUUCCUUAACUUAAUUAGGUAAAGUGUACUUUUGAUAAGAGUAUGUUCGGCGUUCAAGUCGCUGAGGAAUCA